rnacentral:rRNA from 1 species
CCUACGGGAGGCAGCAGUCGAGAAUCAUUCACAAUGGGGGAAACCCUGAUGGUGCGACGCCGCGUGGGUGAAUGAAGGUCUUCGGAUUGUAAACCCCUUUCAUGUGGGAGCAAAAGACGCCACGCGUGGCGUUCCGAGAGUACCCGAAGAAAAGCAUCGGCUAACUACGUGCCAGCAGCCGCGGUUAUACGGGGGAUGCUAGCGUUAUCCGGAUUUAGUGGGUUUAAAGGGUGCGCAGGCGGAAGAUCAAGUCAGUGGUAAAAGUGAGGGGUUAAACCUCUUCGAGCAGUUGAAACUGGUUUUCUUGAGUGAGUGAGAAGUAUGCGGAAUGCGUGGUGUAGCGGUGAAAUGCAUAGAUAUCACGCAGAACUCCGAUUGCGAAGGCAGCAUACCGGCGCUCAACUGACGCUCAUGCACGAAAGUGUGGGUAUCGAACAGGAUUAGAUACCCUGGUAGUC